rnacentral:rRNA from 1 species
UACAGAGGGUGCAAGCGUUAAUCGGAAUUACUGGGCGUAAAGCGUGCGUAGAUGGUUAUGUAAGUCGGAUGUGAAAGCCCCGGGCUCAACCUGGGAAUUGCAUUCGAGACUGCAUAGCUAGGAUGCGGAAGAGGGAAGCGGAAUUUCCGGUGUAGCGGUGAAAUGCGUAGAUAUCGGAAGGAACACCAGUGGCGAAAGCGGCUUCCUGGUCCAGCAUCGACGUUCAGGCACGAAAGCGUGGGGAGCAAACAGG